GAGAUUUAGGCGUCCCUCUGUAUUCAUUUAGAUGAUGGAUAGUAAUGGCUCAAUAGUUCCUCUGGAACCAUUACGGUCAAUCAGGUCAAAAUCCAGCUUGGGGGUGGGAAGGAUUUUUAAGCACGGGAGGUAGGUAACAGGACUCCUGCGCACAUUUGUUCAGAUAACACCUCUGAUAACGUAAUGCAAUCCAGGGUCCUUAAGAGAACAGAUGCCAGGUGAACGCAAGAGCGGGUGUUUUUUGUUGUGACAGCGACAGACAAGUUACAGUAUCAAAACUGAAAGGGAAAGUGAACUGUUUUUCCAGGCAGUUCCCGUUUGGUAAGUUCUUUACGGGCACACAAAUGUAACUCUUUCACCUUAAUAAAUGUAACAAUACAUACACACACACACACACACACACAUAUACCUUUGGUUUGUAAAAAUAUGUGUGACAUGAAGCAUAAAUACUAGCAUGGAAUUGCAUGGGCAUACGAUCAUCGGGAAAAUGGAAUGAUGAUGUCUUCUGUUGUGAAGAUCAAAUGUAAAAUGUAUGUAAAAGACGGCAUGGGUUUUUACUUUUUACACAAAUUUGAGUUGUCAGACUAUUUUAGACACAUCCAGAUCUAUGUACUAAGGUUAAUGAACUUUUCCUUUUUCCAAGGUGUAAAUAAGUGCAUUAGAAACAAGGCAAUGUCUAAUCAGCCGGGGAUGUUGGAGAACAGUAGUUUGAACGGAAUUGUGAAUAGUUAGGGUGGAAUCCUGCAGAUAGAGCCACCUACUGCACCCGCGGCGCUGGGUCCUUCCGGGCUGCACCGGCGGCGGGUGGCGCUGGAGGAAGGAGAGUUCGCGGUAAUUAAACAUUUCCAGACACCGGAGGGUUAUUAUCUGCAGAGCGAUUUCCGGCGAUGGGACUCGGAGAGAGUCCGGCUGCGAGGUUUCGAGAUUCUGGGACGCAAUCCUAAAGAAAACGUGCCCCCUGCUGGCGAGCAAGCCACAUCUCGGGACCCCUUCUUGGAAAACUCGCAAACCCACAGUAUCCUUAUUUCACUUUGCCCAAGAGUAUUUUAGUCCUUCAGUUUUUCUUUUCUCAGUUAGAAGUUUGCUGCUACUCAUUUAAAAGUACGCACACGCUUACCCUUCCAAAGAGCAAACGGAGGAGGAAUUUCUUCUCGCCACGGGGUUUCUGUUUCCCUGCCCCAAACCAGACGUCCUUGCUCUCAGAUGGAUGAGGGCUUUUGUUUGUUUGUUUGUUUGUUUUUAAAUAAUCCGAAAUUCCUAGCAACUAUCUGCCGCCGUUCGCUUCUGGUCCUGGGAAGACGAUGAGCAAAGAUCUACUGGGACCCCAUCCUGCAUUUGCAAGCUCGGUCCGCGUGCCCCUCCCGGCACACCCGGAGGUGAGAAGUGCCCUCCGGUGCCUCCGUCCGCAGCCCCUCGUAGGUCUGCACGUCCUGCUUCGGAUCCCAAAUCCUGGCUUUCUGAAGAAGCGCGGGAAGAAGAGAGAGAGUCUGUUUCCGUGAAUCGAUUUCCCUGAAACACACUAGACUGUGAUUUUUAUCACUUAUUGAGCUGAAGGAUCUUUUAGGAGAAUUUCCUCCUCAAAAUCAGAACCGUUCUCAAGCCUGGUGCUGCAAGUACAAU
rnacentral:lncRNA from 1 species